rnacentral:lncRNA from 1 species
CUCAUCAAACAUCAUAUAAUUGUUUAAAAACAGAAAAAGGAAUUACAAAUUUAGAACAUCCUGAUCAAAAUUAGCUAUUCAAAGACUACAAGCUUGAUUUGUCAUCCACUGGUUGGUCAUGUCUGAUCCACAUGCUCAUUCUUUUUCUUUUAAAACCAAAAGGUGUAGUAGUGAUGUGUGCAAAGAUGGAUGCCUCAGUUCUGUUUUUGUUUUAUUGUUUGAAGCCCAAAAUAGAGGAAUGGAAUAAAGAACCCUCUGGGAGAGAGAGAGAGAGAGGCAGAAGAAAAGAAAGAAAGGAAAAUGGAAUAAAGAACCCUCUGGGAGAGAGAGAGAGUGAGAGAGAGAGAGAGAGGCUAAAGAAAAGAAAGAAAAAAACAAAGGCAAAAGCAACAUUGGAGAAACA